AGAGCGCUAGUUGGCCGACAUCCUUCCGCGGUCACCCGGGAGUUGUCGCUCUGAGGAGUCCGCCACGCGAGGGGUGGUAACGGUGGAGGGGAAACAGAAGAGGGCGCGGUGCCCGCGUCCUGGUGGUCGGGAUCAGGCUAGAAGGCAGGGAAGGGCCGUCCGGAACUGGCGGCUGUCCAAAGCCUCAGGCCUGUGGGUGCCAGACGCAAGCAUGCUUUACAGUAGCCAAGAUAUAGAAGCAGCCCAAGUAUUCACUGAUGGAUGAAUGGCUGAAGAAGAGGUGGUAUGGAUAUGUAUACAAUGGAAUAUUACUCAGCCAUACAAAAGAAAAAGAUCUUGUCAUUUGCAACAUGAAUGGAUCUAGAGGGUAUAAUAUUAAGGGAAAUAAGUCAGAGAAAGACAGAUUCCAUGUGAUUUCACUUACAUGUAGAAUCUAAAAAAAAACAACCAACCAACCAACCAGAUUUUUAAACACAGAGAACAGACUGGUGGCUGCCAGAAGGGGGUUGGGGGGGUGAAAUAGAAUGUAAAAUGAAUAAGGCACACAGAUAAGAAGUGCAGCUUAGGGAAUAGUCAGUAAUAUUGUAACAAUGUGUGGUGACAGAUGGUGACUGCACUUGUAAGCACAGAGUGAUGUGUAGAAUUGUCGAAUCAAUAUGUUGUAUACCUGAAACUAAUAUUGUUAGGGUCCAUGAUCAAAGGAACGAGACUGAUACAAAGCGAAGGUCAAACAAAACUUUAUUUCACGCCAAGCAUCAAGAAUCAAACUGACCGGUGAGGGCUAUCUCUUAUGAAAAGGCGAGGACAAUGAUCCCGACAAGGUCACUCCCAAGAAGGCCGCUCCAGAUGAGUCUGCUCUAGAUGAGGCUGCUCUGCAGAUGAGGCCACUCCAUGAUCGGAGCCACUCCCAAGAAGAGUUCACUCCCAAGAUGAAGCCGCUGCUCCAUGAGGUUGCUCCCCAGACAAGGCCGCUCCCAAGAAGAGGCCAUUCUGGACAAGACCGCUUCCAGAGGCCAUUCUGGACAAGACCGCUUCCCGGACGAGGCUGCUCCCGACGACAAAGAGGCAAUGAUGACAGCGACGAUGACAAGGACGAUAACCCAGAUGACACAGACUCUGCUCCCCACGAUGCUACUCUGACAAGGUUGCCACCCAGAGGAAGCCACCGCUGCGGACAAGGCCGCUCGUGGCUCGGGGUGGCAAGGCAUUUUGCGGCAAGGCUGCUGGUGGCUAGGGGCCAUUGGCAUCUCUGGGCCACUGGCGUCUCGGGACCGCUGGCAUCCAGGGGCUGCAGGCAUCAGGACCGCUGACUGCUGGGCCGCUGGACCACUGGAGUCUCAGGGCCGCAGGCAUCGAGGGACCACUGACAGCUGGACCGCUGGUGUCUGGGCUGCUCGGGGCUGCUGGAAGCUGCAGGCAGCGGCUGGGUGCCCCGGAGGCAGGACCGCGGGAGGCGGGGCGCAGGCGGCUGGAAGCUGCAGGCGCAGGGACCGCCGGUGGUGCUGGAGGCUGUAGAUGGCAGCUCUGGGCUGCUGGAGGUGGGGCCAAAGGUGGCUGGAAGCUGCAGGCGGCUGGAGGCUGCAGGCGCAGGGACCGCCAGUGAUGGGACCGCUUGCAGCGGUUAUUGCUCUUACAAGAGCUGUUAUAGCUCCUCCACUCCACCGAUUCUUCGCUCCCGUUGACUCCUCUGCUCCAGCGCAGCUCUCCUGCUCCCACGCAGCUCUCUCUCCCCCAGCUAGCCUCGCAGCAACCUUUAUGUGGUUGGUUGAGUCCCACCCCUAUACAGGUGGCCAAUCGGAUCUCAAUCCACCCUAGUGGAUAUACACAUGCUGCACCGAUUGGACAUCUCCACCUGGCCUGCCCCACCCCUACAUCGGGGUUCACAAGCAAGUUCCUCUGGGAGCGGCAAGCCCUUACAAUAUAAUGUGUGGUAAUUAUACCUCAAUAAAAAAUUCUUCUGAUUAGAUAAA